rnacentral:rRNA from 1 species
AUAUUUUGAUCAUGGCAUCAGGAACGAACGCUGGCGGCGUGCCUAAUACAUGCAAGUCGAGCGAAUCAAUAGGAGCUUGCUCCUGUUGGUUAGCGGCGGACGGGUGAGUAACACGUGGGCAACCUGCCUGUAAGACUGGGAUAACACCGGGAAACCGGUGCUAAUACCGGAUAAUCCUUUUCCUCGAGUGGGGAAAAGCUGAAAGACGGCGCAAGCUGUCACUUACAGAUGGGCCCGCGGCGCAUUAGCUAGUUGGUGAGGUAAUGGCUCACCAAGGCGACGAUGCGUANCCGACCUGAGAGGGUGAUCGGCCACACUGGGACUGAGACACGGCCCAGACUCCUACGGGAGGCAGCAGUAGGGAAUCUUCCACAAUGGACGAAAGUCUGAUGGAGCAACGCCGCGUGGGGGAUGAAUGGCUUCGGCCCGUAAACCCCUGUCAUUUGCGAACAAAGUGCACUAUUUAAAAGAUGGUGUAUUGAUAGUAGCGGAAGAGGAAGGGACGGCUAACUCUGUGCUAGCAGCCGCGGUAAUUC